UUUGGAUAAAGCUUCCUGCUAUGUAGUGAAAUGGUAUAUGGAGAGGCUCACAUAGCAAGGAACCAAAGGCCUUGAAGUCUUGAGAAUGAGAGGAACUGAUGCUGUAGUCUAGCAGUGGAAGAGCUUGUGAGAACUUAAUCCUGACAACAGCCAUUUGUAAACUAUUUAAUUUCCACCACUAACAGACCCCUAAAUACUUAGAGGAAGCAGAAAGUACAUUGAUGCUGAGACACAAAUUAAUGUGGGGGUAAUGAGAAAUCUGGAAUACAAAUCAACCCUAUUCAAGUUUAAUUCAAAAGACUGGCAACAUCCUUUGGGAGACUAGUAGAGAUAAUAUUCAAUGCACCUUCAAACUUCAGACUAAGCCAGGGGCCUACAAAGUAAAAGUAAUAUUCAACUUACUAAGCUAGCAUCGUCACAGUAAUUUUCUCUACCUGCUUUAUGUUUGAUUCAUAAAAACCAUACAUUCUCAAGUUGAAAUGAAACUUUAGGGUCUAGAAAGUAAUCCGGACCACCCUACUGUUGAUAGAUAUGAUGACUGAUCUACACAGAUGAUCGAAAUGAAGAGAAAGUGAACAGCUGACAGAAGUGGUAUGGGUCAUGACCAUGAUGUAAGAAAGAGAAAUUCAGACAAUGGUAGACUCUCUGGACAGUACACAAUUAAAAAUCUGGUGAAAUUCCAAAGGGUGGAAGAACCACAGUUGUUCAGCUCCAUUAUAGAACCAUCAUUUCUGAACAUGGAACACCACCAGUCAGUAGGAAUCACACAAGCUAAGAGUAUUCAAGGCUAGGAUGAAGUGAAUGAGGCACUCAAUUCAGG